CCUACGGGAGGCAGCAGUGAGGAAUAUUGGUCAAUGGGCGGGAGCCUGAACCAGCCAAGCCGCGUGAGGGAAGAAGGUCCAGCGUAUCGUAAACCUCUUUUGUCAGGGAACAAAGGCGGGGACUAGUCCCCGGAUGAGGGUACCUGAAGAAAAAGCAUCGGCUAACUCCGUGCCAGCAGCCGCGGUAAUACGGAGGAUGCGAGCGGUAUCCGGAUUUAUUGGGUUUAAAGGGUGCGCAGGCGGCCUGUUAAGUUAGCGGUAAAAGUCCGGGGCUCAACCCCGGCGAGCCGUUGAAACUGGCGGGCUGGAGUUGGAGAGAAGGACGCGGAAUGCGCGGUGUAGCGGUGAAAUGCUUAGAUAGCGCGCAUAACCCCGAUUGCGAAGGCAGCGGACCGGCUCCACACUGACGCUGAGGCACGAAAGCGUGGGUAGCGAACAGGAUUAGAUACCCUUGUAGUC
rnacentral:rRNA from 1 species